AGUCUUUGUGCCUGGAGGAAGAACUCCAGUUCCAGUUAAGAGUUAUGAGGCAUCACCAGCACUUGAUGCUCCCAGUCAAGAAGUGCCUGUUCAGGAGAGCUCUGACCCCCCUAUUGAUCAACCUCCCCAGUUCCCAUCAUCACCUGAGCCCAGUGGAAAGAAGAUCAAAUCCUGCUGGUUCA